UACGUAGGGACCAAGCGUUGUUCGGAUUUACUGGGCGUAAAGGGCGCGUAGGCGGCAAUUCAAGUCAGUUGUGGAAUCUCCGAGCUUAACUCGGAACGGUCAACUGAUACUGUUUUGCUAGAGUACAGAAGGGGCAAUCGGAAUUCUUGGUGUAGCGGUGAAAUGCGUAGAUAUCAAGAGGAACACCUGAGGUGAAGACGGGUUGCUGGGCUGAUACUGACGCUGAGGCGCGAAAGCUAGGGUAGCAAACGGG
rnacentral:rRNA from 1 species